ensembl:lncRNA
CUGCACUCGCGUAUCCAGGAACCACCUCUUUUUACAGCAGGAAGAGGGCAACCAGAGAGGGUGAGAGCGCCGCUCACGGUUACCCACAAGUUUCGGAACAAAGUUGGCAGCAUGAGGAGUCUGGGUUCGAAUCCUAGCACAGCUGGUCGGAUCGCUAGCAGUUAAAAUCUCAGUUUCCGUUCAGAUGAAUCUGUAUCAACUCUAUGCAGCUGAGUCCUACUGGCUGGGCUCAAGGAGAAGGAGAAAAUUAUAAUAACUGAAAAAAAUUGGUAUUUUGACAAGGCUUCUCAGGUGGCACUGGUUGUGAAGAACCCACCUGCCAAUGCAGGAAACCUAAGAAUUACGGGUUCGAUCCCUGGGUCGGGAAGAUCUCCUGGAGGAGGAAAUGGCAACCCAUUCCAGUAUUCUUGACUGAAGAAUCCCAAGGACAGAGGAGCCUGGCAGGCCACAGUCCAUGGGGUCACACAGAGUCGGACAGGACUUGGCACAUCUCAUCCCUCACACCCAUGUUGUGUGGAAGGUGGCAGCUCUCUCCUACUUGGAUGGGCAGGCAGCCGAGGCACACAGAUUGGGAUCUGAACCCCAC